rnacentral:rRNA from 1 species
AUUGAACGCUGGCGGCAGGCCUAACACAUGCAAGUCGAGCGGCAGAACAGUGCUUGCUUGUGGAUACAGCUGCCGAGGGGCGGGUGGUUCCUAGAAAUCUCCGUAUUUACUUUUUCUAGGGUCCUGACGCGGGGAAUCAUACGCCAAAAGCGCAUACGACGUACGGGUGGGAGCUUCGGAUCUUACGCUCUCGCAUGAGCCUAUGAGCCGAUGUCGGAUUAGCUAGUUGGCGGGGUAAAGGCCCACCAAGGCGACGAUCCGUAACUGGUCUGAGAGGAUGAUCAGUCACACUGGAACUGAGACACGGUCCAGACUCCUACGGGAGGCAGCAGUGGGGAAUAUUGGACAAUGGGCGCAAGCCUGAUCCAGCCAUGCCGCGUGUGUGAAGAAGGUCUUCGGGUUGUAAAGCCCUUUUAGUGGGGAGGAAAAGCAGUAAGUUAAUACCUCGCUGUUCUGACGUUACCCAAAGAAUAAGCACCGGCUAACUUCGUG